AGUGAACGCUGGCGGUAGGCCUAACACAUGCAAGUCGAACGGCAGCACAGUAAGAGCUUGCUCUUACGGGUGGCGAGUGGCGGACGGGUGAGGAAUACAUCGGAAUCUACUUUUUCGUGGGGGAUAACGUAGGGAAACUUACGCUAAUACCGCAUACGACCUACGGGUGAAAGCAGGGGAUCUUCGGACCUUGCGCGAUUGAAUGAGCCGAUGUCGGAUUAGCUAGUUGGCGGGGUAAAGGCCCACCAAGGCGACGAUCCGUAGCUGGUCUGAGAGGAUGAUCAGCCACACUGGAACUGAGACACGGUCCAGACUCCGACGGGAGGCAGCAGUGGGGAAUAUUGGACAAUGGGCGCAAGCCUGAUCCAGCCAUACCGCGUGAGUGAAGAAGGCCUUCGGGUUGUAAAGCCCUUUUGUUGGGAAAGAAAAGCAGCAGGUUAAUACCCCGCUGUUCUGACGGUACCCAAAGAAUAAGCACCGGCUAACUUCGUG
rnacentral:rRNA from 1 species